AUAUAAAUAGAUAAAAUAAUCUCACCGGCACCUGUUGACUAAAUUUAAUUAAAAUUUACGCUUUAACUUUUUUCAAUUGCAAAAAGAAACUUUAUAAAUUGAAAAGUACGGUUUGUUAAAUAUCUUACAAAAUCAAGCACUGCAACUCACAGCACCACUACCACCACCACCACCACAUUCGCCGCCGAUGCCAAUUCUCCCACCGCCGAUGCAAAAAACAUUUUAAUAACAGUAAAAUUGGGCUGAGAAGGUGGAGGAGAUGAACAGAGCAAGCGAGCGAGCUCUUUCUUCCUUAGAAAAAGAGAAAAAAUAUUACCAGUAAUUUCUUUUUCUAAAUCUUGAAAAGAAUGCAGAGCAGGUGUUUGUUUUUAGGCCUCAAUGAAAUUCGUUUCAGUGCACUGCCGUUUUUGCUUUGGUAACGGUUUAUAAUGUAACAGAAAAAUAAAUGUAUUGAUUUGAGAGAGAUUAUUGAUGAGACGAGGAUCGGCAACUUUAUCAACUAAUCGAUAAAGAAGGUUUUUGUACAGCAUGUUGAGAUAGUCAGCAACUCAGAUGCCAUUAUUGAUGUGUUGCAAUUAUUUGUUGUGGUAAAUAAGUUUGAUUGUAA